rnacentral:rRNA from 1 species
UACAUAGGGGGCAAGCGUUAUCCGGAAUUAUUGGGUGUAAAGGGUGCGUAGACGGAGAAACAAGUUGGUUGUGAAAUCCCUCGGCUCAACCGAGGAACUGCAACCAAAACUAUUUCCCUUGAGUGUCGGAGAGGAAAGUGGAAUUCCUAGUGUAGCGGUGAAAUGCGUAGGUAUUAGGAGGAACACCAGUGGCGAAGGCGACUUUCUGGACGAUAACUGACGUUGAGGCACGAAAGUGUGGGGAGCAAACAGG